rnacentral:tRNA from 1 species
UCCGGGGUAGUUCAGCGGUAGAACGCUCGGCUCGUACCGAGUGGGCGCUGGUUCGACUCCAGCCCCCGGACCCA